rnacentral:rRNA from 1 species
UUGACCUCAAAUCAGGUAGGACUACCCGCUGAACUUAAGCAUAUCAAUAAGCGGAGGAAAAGAAACUAACAAGGAUUCCCCUAGUAACUGCGAGUGAAGCGGGAAGAGCUCAAAUUUUGAAUCUGGCAGUCCUUGGCUGUCCGAGUUGUAAUCUAGAGAAGUGUUUUCCGCGCUGGACCGU